UACGUAGGGACCGAGCGUUAUCCGGAUUCAUUAGGCGUAAAGAGCUCGUAGGCGGCUAUUCAAGUCGAACGUGAAAUCUCGGAGCUCAACUCCGAGCCUGCGUUCGAUACUGGGUAGCUAGAGUCUGGUAGGGGGAUCUGGAAUUCCUGGUGUAGCGGUGGAAUGCGCAGAUAUCAGGAGGAACACCGGUGGCGAAGGCGGGUCUCUGGACAGUUCCUGACGCUGAGGCACGAAGGCCAGGGGAGCAAACGGG
rnacentral:rRNA from 1 species